UGCGGUCUGCUCUCGAUUGUGGAGUUUUUAUUGUGUCAACAAGACAAAAGGAAGAUUUCAUCGAUUUCAGAUCGCUGAGGAGGCAACAACAAUAUUCAUUCAUCUGGCGCACUCUUUGCAAGGGGCGGAACUCUCGACGCGAAAAGUUCUCCGGAAGAUAAUUAACCAAACUGUUAGCGUUCCCGGUUAAAACACGGGAACGCAGUGGCGUGGAGCAUUGCACACAACGACAGGAGGGAGAUUUAUUCAAUUGCUUUUCUGUCUACGACCACCGAGCCUCGUUUUAAAUUCGCGUCUUACCCCAAAGCUAAUACUGUCGUGAUUCAUUUGUUAAUCAACGUUUCCACUAAACGUUGCUCAGGAGGAAACAAUUAAGAGUUGAAACGAAGGCGGAAACCAAGAAAAAAAAAAAAAAAAAAAGGAAAGAAUGGCACGAGACGCGCAACAAGAUAAAAUUGCGUCGAGCAUAAAACAAGAGGCCGAGAGCGUUGAAGAUUUACGUGUUCUUCUUUUUUUCUUCUCCUCCGCGAUUUUCGUCGAAAUAAAAAGGCGAAGCUUUUACACUGGCACGCGGGAGAAUUACAAAAUAUAACGAAAUUAUCAGACAAUGGCGGAAAAGGAGGGAAAGCGCAGCGCCACCGGAUACGGAUGUUGUUGAUUCUACAAAGUUUUAGAAAACUUCCGCGCGAAGUGGUAGCGAACGAACGAGGAAGCGAAUGAAGUGGCAAGAGGGGAAAAGUCGCAGCAUCGCGAGAAAAUCGCGGAACAGGUGUAUAAGUAGAAAUUACAAGGGUGUGCCAAGAGUGUAGGAACAACGAAACGAGAGAGACCCGUUUUAUAAUCUUCGUGUAUAAGCAAAGUAUAUAAAAUAUACUUUGAUUAUCGGACUGUGAGUGUUUGUGCCUUUUAAUAUAUGCAAAAUACAUAUUCAAAUACGUGUGAAACACAUGCAAAUGUUUCGCCUAUUGUUCGUGCACAUUUGCCUAUUAUUCGUGAAUAUUUGUCUAUUGGUGGUUGCGUAUUUGCAUAUUUUUCGUGGGUUUGCAUGCUUGUAAAUGCAAAAGGCAUACGCAAGCAUAUAUAUAAAUGCAAAAGGCAUACGAAAAAUAUAUAU